UAUCUAUCUUAUGUUACUCAAUCGAACGGUGGUAUUUUCAUCUAUAAAUAGCAUGCACUGAACCAACGAUAUGAACGGCAAAGUUGUUAGAUUGAAACAUUGACUUGUUUAAUGUAUGUAUGGACUGUAUGCGUAAAUGGAAAAGACUUAAACAGAUAGAUAAUCGUCAGAUAGAUAAAUUGCACAAGAAAGUACUGCCGCUUGCGAGAUGCCUUCCAGCUUUUAUUACCAUUUACUCGAUAUAAUAUUUACAAUGCCCUCGAGUGCUGUCAUGGAACCAGUAGGAUACGCUUUCAAUUUGAUCAGUAAAUUAAUGGCAGACUCGUCACGCAAACGGACAAUGGCGGUGGUAGAUAGUCUCAAGAACGACUAAACGUUGUAGUUGCGUUGUAGCAAAUUCCUUUUUCACCACUGUUCUACUGGGGAUAUCUUUGGCUAUGAUUUCUGAUAUAUUGUCGUGUCGUCGACAUAUUUCCACUUAUAAAAAGGGUUUGAUAGAUCGGAAGUCAAUUAUAUGCUUCAAAACCACUGAGCGUUCACAAUAUUGCACGGAAUUGCCGAUAAAUCCUGUGCGAAAAAACUUUGUCUUGCUUUCAAUCAAGUUUAUCUAUCUGACGAUUAUCUAUCUGUUUAAGUCUUUUCCAUUUACGCAUACAUACAUUAAACAAGUCAAUGUUUCAAUCUAACAACUUUGCCGUUCAUAUCGUUGGUUCAGUGCAUGCUAUUUAUAGAUGAAAAUACCACCGUUCGAUUGAGUAACAUAAGAUAGAUA